CUAUCUACAGGCUUAACACAUGCAAGUCGAGGGGCAUCAGGAAGAAAGCUUGCUUUCUUUGCUGGCGACCGGCGCACGGGUGAGUAACACGUAUCCAACCUGCCCUUUACUCGGGGAUAGCCUUUCGAAAGAAAGAUUAAUACCCGAUGGCAUAAUGAUUCCGCAUGGUUUCAUUAUUAAAGGAUUCCGGUAAAGGAUGGGGAUGCGUUCCAUUAGGUUGUUGGUGAGGUAACGGCUCACCAAGCCUUCGAUGGAUAGGGGUUCUGAGAGGAAGGUCCCCCACAUUGGAACUGAGACACGGUCCAAACUCCUACGGGAGGCAGCAGUGAGGAAUAUUGGUCAAUGGGCGCUAGCCUGAACCAGCCAAGUAGCGUGAAGGAUGAAGGCUCUAUGGGUCGUAAACUUCUUUUAUAUAAGAAUAAAGUGCAGUAUGUAUACUGUUUUGUAUGUAUUAUAUGAAUAAGGAUCGGCUAACUCCGUGCCAGCAGCCGCGGUAAUACGGAGGAUCCGAGCGUUAUCCGGAUUUAUUGGGUUUAAAGGGAGCGUAGGUGGACUGGUAAGUCAGUUGUGAAAGUUUGCGGCUCAACCGUAAAAUUGCAGUUGAUACUGUCAGUCUUGAGUACAGUAGAGGUGGGCGGAAUUCGUGGUGUAGCGGUGAAAUGCUUAGAUAUCACGAAGAACUCCGAUUGCGAAGGCAGCUCACUGGACUGCAACUGACACUGAUGCUCGAAAGUGUGGGUAUCAAACAGGAUUAGAUACCCUGGUAGUCCACACAGUAAACGAUGAAUACUCGCUGUUUGCGAUAUACAGUAAGCGGCCAAGCGAAAGCAUUAAGUAUUCCACCUGGGGAGUACGCCGGCAACGGUGAAACUCAAAGGAAUUGACGGGGGCCCGCACAAGCGGAGGAACAUGUGGUUUAAUUCGAUGAUACGCGAGGAACCUUACCCGGGCUUAAAUUGCAGUGGAAUGAUGUGGAAACAUGUCAGUGAGCAAUCACCGCUGUGAAGGUGCUGCAUGGUUGUCGUCAGCUCGUGCCGUGAGGUGUCGGCUUAAGUGCCAUAACGAGCGCAACCCUUAUCUUUAGUUACUAACAGGUUAUGCUGAGGACUCUAGAGAGACUGCCGUCGUAAGAUGUGAGGAAGGUGGGGAUGACGUCAAAUCAGCACGGCCCUUACGUCCGGGGCUACACACGUGUUACAAUGGGGGGUACAGAAGGCAGCUAGCGGGUGACCGUAUGCUAAUCCCAAAAGCCUCUCUCAGUUCGGAUCGAAGUCUGCAACCCGACUUCGUGAAGCUGGAUUCGCUAGUAAUCGCGCAUCAGCCACGGCGCGGUGAAUACGUUCCCGGGCCUUGUACACACCGCCCGUCAAGCCAUGGGAGCCGGGGGUACCUGAAGUACGUAACCGCAAGGAUCGUCCUAGGGUAAAACUGGUGACUGGGG
rnacentral:rRNA from 1 species